ensembl:lncRNA
AGCUACGUUGUUGAGGAAAAUGUUACUUUCUAUGCCUGUGAGAUGUGGUUGUCCCACUUAGCUAUCUCAAGAUGUAUGCACUAAUAACUGCAAGUCGCUCUGGAUAAGAGCAUCUGCUAAAUUACUAAAAUGUAAAAUGUAAAUGUAUUAAUGCUGUAAAUCUGACUACUCCUUUGGCUCUAGUGACUCCAGGGAGCUGUUGGCCACUGUGUCUGAGCUGAAGCAUGCGCACAGUAGAAUGAGUAAGCAGAACAACAGCCUGUUGAGGACUGUAUCUCAGGGUGAGGACACCAACCUGCAGCUCACAGUGGAGAUCACUGAACUUAGUGCCAAGCUGGCCAGUGCCCAGCGGUCAGCAAGGAGAACCUGGUCCCUUGUGGAGGAGCUUGAAGAUGCCAGGAGAUCCCUGAUGGAGGCACAGGAGAGAGCCAGCCAAGCCCAGGCUAGCAGCUGCAAACUGAGCAAAGAAUGUGACUGUCUGAAAGCACACAUUAAAGUGCUUGAAGACAAGGUAAAUUUGAUCUUUAUUAUUAUUUCAUAAUAAAUGUACAAAGUGUGUGAUGUCACAUACUGUAUAUUAUAUGAGCGUGACACAAUCACUUUUAUAUCUGCAGAAUGAACAACUCACACUCGAGGGGACUUGUUCUGAAGAUUGUCUCAACAAAUUGAGAAAGGUUAAUGCUGAGAUGAGGGUAAGAACUGUUGGCCAGAACAUCUCUGUCUGUCACUGAGAUAAGAGUGCAGUAAUGGAGAUCCUCUCAUUUGUUUUGCAGGAGGAACUUGAAGAAACCCUUGUCAUGCUGGCUGUAAGAGACAGGGAACUCACUAAAGUUAGUAUACCAUACCUUCACACAUAGACGGUUCAUUCUCUGUUUUACAAUGACUGCAUUGGUAGAUUUGUAUUUUUUUAUUGUUCCUUUCCAGAAAGACAUACUGAUGGAUAAGCUGAAGAACUCUCAUCUGGAGAACCACAGAAUCAUUGAGGGGCUACAGUCAGAGUUUAUGCAUUUAUCAGAGCAUUCCCAGCAAGCUCUUUUGAGGUUUGACAGGCACUGUGGCAGUCCAACAGGUUUCCAGGGAAGGAGUGGAGGGGUUCCUAACCACCGCUCUCUGCAUGCUGAGAUCCAGGACAUUCAGCAGCGUGGGGUUCUGGAGGAGAUGACUGGUACAAUAUGUGGGGUUUGGUCCUCUCACACUCAGAGGGAAGAUAUCCAAAACAUAAUUCACAGGAUCAAGUCUGCUGAGCUGGCCCACCUUCUCCACGCACACUACCCAGAGAGGGAUUCUGUUGGCGGUUGUGCUGUUGAGACCCUGGAGAGGCCAUAUCCCCACAGCCAACAGCCACAGCCGAGCAUCAAGCAGCAGCUGGUUAAUGUACUGAAGGAACUGGAGCAGCAGACGACUCUGUGGGAGGAGAGAGAGGAGAAGGUGGCGGAACAACGGAGGCUACAGGAGCAGCAGGAGCAGAGGCAGAAGCCACAGGCCAAGAGGGCAGCUGUGGUGAACUGGUGGAGAACCCUUAAGGUGGAGGGGGGUAGGACCAAGGUCAAGCCGGAAGACACUCUGACCCAGCCCAGCAAGGCCCUCACUGACACAGAUUCCAAGCUCCAACAGGCAAAGCACACCAUCACAAAGAUUAGGGAGCAGGUAUGCCACCUUGAGUCGGCUCUGAGAACUGCCCAAGAGGAUGUAGCUGAGCACAAAAACAUUCAGGACAGGGUGGGUGUUCUUCACAAAGACAAGGAGACCAACACGGUGAGAGAGGGACCUGGCUGGACUGGGGUGGAGGCAUCAAAGGAGUGUAAGGACGUGGCUGUGGCUACAGACCAUGUGGAGGACCCAGGUAGAUCAGAGAAGGUAGCAGCCCAGCUUGUGACCUCAGAGGGUCUGCUGGUGACCCUCAGGAGGAUGGAGGCCAUGGUCAGCAGUGCCCUGGAGGCAGCUGAGCUGGUCAGGGAGAGUCAGCGAAGAGUCAGCCAGGUCAAGGAGAGGAUGGAGAGUAUCACUCAGAAGAUGGAGGAAGCUCUGACCAGAGCAGCGUACACAGAAGGUCAGCUCAGUGCCCUGGAGGCCAGAGUCACAGCCAAACCUCAGUUGCCAGGUCUUAUAGGGCAGACAGCCCAGCCUGGUGUUGAAGCUAUAGGCAGAGAUAGACCCAGGAAUCCCUCUCCACCAGAGCCUAUGACCGAAAGCUACAGCAAGUCUAGAUGGCCCCUUAUAAGCGGUGCCAUUUAUUCACAAACUGGAGGAGGCAACAACAGUGGCAGAAAGGUUCCAUCCCAGUGUCAGAGACACAAACACCCCCAGUGUCCCCAUCACAAGUCUUCCUCCAGUACGAGUGUGCCCCUUCACUUACCGUCCCAACGGAUACACCCCCCCAGUCUGCCUGUUGCAGUCACGCUGCCGCUCACACUGAGGAGAAUGUAGCAGG